GAUGAGCGCUGGCGGCGUGCCUAAUACAUGCAAGUCGAGCGAACGGACGAGAAGCUUGCUUCUCUGAUGUUAGCGGCGGACGGGUGAGUAACACGUGGAUAACCUACCUAUAAGACUGGGAUAACUUCGGGAAGCCGGAGCUAAUACCGGAUAAUAUUUUGAACCGCAUGGUUCAAAAGUGAAAGACGGUCUUGCUGUCACUUAUAGAUGGAUCCGCGCUGCAUUAGCUAGUUGGUAAGGUAACGGCUUACCAAGGCAACGAUGCAUAGCCGACCUGAGAGGGUGAUCGGCCACACUGGAACUGAGACACGGUCCAGACUCCUACGGGAGGCAGCAGUAGGGAAUCUUCCGCAAUGGGCGAAAGCCUGACGGAGCAACGCCGCGUGAGUGAUGAAGGUCUUCGGAUCGUAAAACUCUGUUAUUAGGGAAGAACAUAUGUGUAAGUAACUGUGCACAUCUUGACGGUACCUAAUCAGAAAGCCACGGCUAACUACGUG
rnacentral:rRNA from 1 species